ACCCUUUUCAUUUCGAACGCCCCUCCUUAUAUUCGGGGUGUCGGCUCGUCCGACUAUGGUGAUAAACGGCAGAUGGAAUAAACCGUUCGGACCCGGGGGCGGUACCCGGCGCCUCCACCAUGAACCGCCGUGCGCGACGGUUUGUGAUGGGGGCGAAAUAGGAUCGACGAAGGUGUAAAGAUCUGGCUUUUGCCCGGCAUUGUACCGCCGUUAUCGGGCUAAACUUAUAGUUGCCAACGACAACUAUGCGGAAGCACGUCUCGCUGCUUAAUGCGGUGCGAUAGCUUCAAAUCAAGCCCUAGGGGAUCGCUCCUCUAGGCGGGGUCCGGAGGCACCUGGCAACAGAAGCCUCCACC
rnacentral:tmRNA from 1 species